GGGGCUGUAGCUCAGUUGGGAGAGCGCUUGAAUGGCAUUCAAGAGGUCGUUGGUUCGAUCCCGAUCAGCUCCACCA
rnacentral:tRNA from 1 species